rnacentral:misc_RNA from 1 species
AGACAUUACCACACGGCAGUUAGAGUUUCCGAAAUACUUUUGCUUUGGCGGUAUUUAUUUAUUGUCAGGAGCAUGGUUUACUUAAUUACAUUAUUUUAAAAUCGUACUUGGAUAUAAGAUACAAGCAAAUAUUGAACGGAAGUAGGUUUGCUUUGCUCUUUUUUACAGUAAUUUAGCUGACACUAGCACUAUUUCAUGUCUUUAUAAAAAAUGAUAAAUAUUCUUGAAACGAAUUGCUAUGACCAUGAAUCAUCGUCUCUGUGAAAUCUAUUUAUAGUUAAAUACUAUUGUUCGUUUUUUCGUUUGCAUGGUGUAUUAAAUUAAGGAAGUAAAGUAGGCAAAAUAAAUGUUCUACUGAUUCUUUAUAAUUUGUUUCUUUUAUUAUUUAACUAUAUAUAUAGUAUGACCUAUUAAAUUAUUCAAUAAAGUCUCUUCCAUGUAGCCAUAUGCUAAUAAUUUCCAAUAGUAGUUUUCUCUUCACAUUUUCCACUUAUUUCAUUAUAAUUUUAUUUGUUUUUAUAUAUAAAAAAAAAGCCUUAAAUGUUACGAGAUAUCGAAGACUGCUAAUACUUAAUUAGUUGACACACUUAUCGAUUUAAAGGCAAGCUAAUUGAAAAGCCCGCCUCUUUACUCAGAAAAGCCAAUGACCGUCAGACUAUGUUAGUUAUAUCUAACUGUUAAUAUUAAGCUAUUAAACCAAUCAAUGAAAAGAUAUAGAAAAGUUACGCAUAAAGGUAUCAUAAACAAGCUCUAAUAUUCCAACGAAAAAAUGAACUUGGAGGGAAAUAAUCCAAUCAUCAUCCUACCACGCAGAAAAAAAGACUUAUUAGAGGCAUAUAUUCUAGCUAUACCGGCGGGCCUUGUGGGCGCUCAUCACUACUAUCUACGCAAUUAUGGACGAGGAGUUCUCUAUACAUUGACUUUAGGACUACUAGGAAUGGGAUGGCUUAUGGACAUAUUCCGAAUGUCGAUUCUAGUCAAAAGAGCCAACUUGAAAUUAGAAGAACCAGAAAAUAUUGAAUGUAAACAGAAAUAUAUUGGAGAUGCCUAUACAUUUUGGCUCCCAUUUGGAUUAUUGGGAUUUCAUCAAUAUUAUUUAAGAAGAUGGUCGUGGGGAAUAGCUUAUUCUUUAACGUUUGGGCUUCUUGGUAUCGGUUGGCUAGUGGACGGAUGUCGAAUGUAUAAAUUAGUUAGAAAAUACAAUACAGAUAUGGCUAUCCGAUUGGAAAAUUCUCCAAACUAUAAAGAAAAACAAUUGUUGGAUACUUACAUUAUAGCAAUAACACCUGCGGGUAUUUUUGGAAUGCAUCAUUUCUAUUUGGGUAGAUGUUGUUGGGGAUUUCUCUAUCUCUUUACCUUUGGAUUAUGUGGACUUGGUUGGUUGUCAGACCUAAUAAGAUUAUCAAUGAUAGUUAAAAGAACAAAUGAAAGCAAGAGAUCUAAGCCCGACUAUCCUAUCAAAUAUGUCGAUGAAGCUUACACACUUAUUUUACCACCACUUGGUCUUUUAGGCUUACAUCAUUACUAUUUGAGACGCUACGGUUGGGGUGUUGCUUAUACAUGUACUUUCGGUUGUUUCGGUGUUGGUUGGAUUUUUGAUUUAUUUCGAUUGUCCAAAUUAGUACAUCAGGUUAAUGCCAGGGCAAAACAAAAAAAGUCUAUUCGAGAUCUUGUUCAGUCGUACGUGAAUGAGCAUCAAGCCGGUCCCCAGCAUAUUGUUCCACCUCCAACUACACAUUCUUGUACUGAAUUGGAAGCGCCUCCUUCAUAUGAAAUUGCAAUGGCGACAUCGGCUAGACAGCCCUCUCCUUUGCCUCCUCCACGACCUCCACCUCCAAGAGACUUCCACAGUUUGGCGAUGGAAAGUUCUUCAGAACUAGGUGGAUUCAACAAUAUCGCUAACGAACAGAAGCGAAUGGUUAUCGAAGCUCAUCAAAGGGCAGCAGCAGCAGAACAAGCACAGCCUGAACCAGCAGAAAAUUCAACAUUAGGAGGGUUUGAAACGAUAGCCUUAGAACAAAAGCGAAUGGUCGAAGAGGCCAAUAGAAGUCAACAACUCGUUUAG